AACCUAUUGAUACUCGAGAGCUGCCACAUCAACAACACGCCGAACACGAUCAACAAACGAACGGACACGGACAACCUGCAUGUCGCGUAUGCCGGGGUUCUGCAUUUGCUCCGAAACAACCAACAGAGCCGAAGAAGUAGAAACGAAUGAGCAAAACAAACGAGCAAAACAAAUUGUAAACACACACACACACUGUAGGGAAAUUAUUAGUCACUUACACCACCAAAACACGACAGUCCACACGAACACCACAAAGAUACACGGAAAGCAAUGGUGAUCGUUUGCGAAGUACGUUCUAAAUUCCGGAGUGCUAAUUUUCGGAACGAGUUUCCCCCGAUAGGGCAUCCAAUUUGGCUGCGAUUGUGCGGGAAAAUUCGAACCAAAUCGACAGUUACAGGUUCUACCGAACCACACUGGACGAGAACACUGUAACUAUUGAGUCCCUGAAGAAGGUCCCAAACGGACCGAAACGUCGGACAAAAUAACAUAAAUAGUGUUUUAUUUUUGUCAAGACUGACAAGCCACCACGAAAC